GACAUCGGUACCCUACAGUGACUCUCGGUACCAACGCGUCUCUGCUGGGAUGGGGAGCCAUUUGCUCCGAUCUACGUACCCAAGGGGUAUGGAGUCACCGGGAUUCCAGGAACCACAUCAACUUCCUGGAACUUCUUGCUGUUUUCAAAGCCCUGCAAUUGUUCGAGGACAUGCUUCUCCACCAGGUCGUCCAGGUGACCUCGGACAACAUGGCUACGGUCUUUUAUUUGAACAAACAAGGGGGAACCUGGUCCCAGAAACUAGCCCGCCUAUCCAUGCAGAUUUGGGACUGGUGCAUACCGAGAGGUAUCACUCUUCUAGCAGUUCAUCUUGUGGGCACGGACAAUAUAGACGCAGAUCUCUUGAGCAGACAUAUGUCACGGUCACACGAAUGGGAACUAGACCAUCGGGUUCGCGACAGACUGUUUCACCGCUGGGGUCAGCCAGACAUAGACCUGUUUGCCACACAACAAAACAGGGUAUGCACGAACUAUUGUUCCAGAGCGGGGAUAGGACAGGGGUCAUCUGGGGGAGCUUUCAUGAUCCCCUGGAACGACAUGACUUUUUACGCUUUCCCACCGAUUCCCCUCAUCAUGAGAGUGUUGGCAAAGAUCAUUCACAAAGGGGCCACAGGGCUACUAAUUACCCCCUGGUGGCCACGCCAGCCAUGGUUCUCAACUCUCCUUCACAUCUCUCGGGAGGAUUUUCUCCAACUCCCUCUUCUUCCUUAUUACCCAGAGGGAGGGCACGAUCCGACACCCAGACUUCUUGUCGCUGAAACUGACUGCAUGGAGGAUCCGAUAACCAUAUGUGAUGCACCGGUGUCGACGCCACCGGCGAUCCCUACUACCUCUACGCCACAGAUUUUACAUCCAGAUCUGCGAUAUAUUCUCAAAUCUGCGUUACAGCCAUCCACUAGAAAAUCGUAUGCAGUGAAAUGGUGUAGAUUCUCUAGCUUUGCCGAAUCACACUUGUUUCCAGCGUCCUCGGCUUCUGUUCAACAGAUUCUUCAACUCCUCUUCGAAUUGCAUCAGUCUGGACUUAAACCUUCUUCCAUAAAAGAAUAUACAGAAGCGAUUUCUCAUUACCGUGGAACUGUACACGGUUUCUCCAUUUUUUCUCAAACUUUGAUUAAAAGAUUUUUGAGAGGAUUGAGUAACCUCCAUCCAACAAUAAGGCCCCUGAUGCCCACUUGGAGUCUUUCAGUGGUUUUACAAGCACUGACUCGACCACCUUUCAAACCGAUGGCGAUGAUCGAUCUACGCCUUGUCUCAUGGAAGACUGCUUUCCUCGUUGCAGUUACUUCAGCCCAUAGAUCCUCUGAACUCUGUGCCCUUAGGGUGGACCCCCCUUUUCUGAAUUUUCAUAAGGAAAAGGUAGUUCUACGGCUGGAUCCGUCUUUUCUUCCGAAAAUCGCUACUUCGUUUCACAUGCAGCAAGAGAUGGUUUUACCAGCCUUCUUUCCAACCCCUUCGAAUCCGAUAGAGAGAUCUCUGCAUAUGCGGGACGUUCGUCGUUCCUUAGCCUUUUAUAGGUCCAGGACUGAGUCUGUUCGACACUCCAAUAGACUUUUUGUGAAAUACUCGGAACAUGACC
ensembl:lncRNA